rnacentral:rRNA from 1 species
UCGAGAGUUUGAUCCUGGCUCAGGAUGAACGCUAGCGGCAGGCCUAACACAUGCAAGUCGAGGGGUAGAGGAAGCUUGCUUCCUUGAGACCGGCGCACGGGUGCGUAACGCGUAUGCAAUCUACCUUUUACAGAGGGAUAGCCCAGAGAAAUUUGGAUUAAUACCUCAUAGUAUGUGAGAAUCGCAUGGUUUUUCACAUUAAAGUUCCAACGGUACAAGAUGAGCAUGCGUCCCAUUAGUUAGUUGGUAAGGUAACGGCUUACCAAGACAAUGAUGGGUAGGGGUCCUGAGAGGGAGAUCCCCCGACACUGGUACUGAGACACGGACCAGACUCCGUACGGGGA